UACAGAGGUCUCAAGCGUUGUUCGGAUUCAUUGGGCGUAAAGGGUGCGUAGGCGGCGCGGUAAGUCGGGUGUGAAAUCUCGGAGCUUAACUCCGAAACUGCAUUCGAUACUGCCGUGCUUGAGGACUGGAGAGGAGACUGGAAUUUACGGUGUAGCGGUGAAAUGCGUAGAUAUCGUAAGGAAGACCAGUGGCGAAGGCGAGUUCCUGGACAGUUACUGACGCUGAGGCACGAAGGCCAGGGGAGCAAACGGG
rnacentral:rRNA from 1 species